rnacentral:lncRNA from 1 species
UGCCACUCUGAGGACACCCAGGACCCAGGAGGUUUCUGCUUCUGGCUGACAUCUGAGUAUCAGUUGCUGACUACAGGCUGUUCUAAGUAGACUGCGAGCCCUAGACUUGCUGUGGAUGUGAACCAGUCCAGCUGAUAUGGACACCCCCUAUCUCUGCAACAAUGUCUGCUAACCAGAAGCCCCUGAUGAAUUCCCCAUUGCCUAAAUUCCUUUUUGCUUUUGACUAGCAUUUCAACCUUCUGGGGUCCCUAACUUCGUCCCAAAGUCAGCAGGAAGCAGUUUGGAAAAGAAUUUCGCCGUCCAUUUUCCCUGGUUAAAAUGCUAAGUCAAAAGGAACUCCCUUACAUGGGGAUGACAGUAUCUAUCACUCCCUGAUGGGGAUGCUAGAGAGACAGCAAUUCCAUGAUUGGAAUUUCCAGAAAAGAAAAUGGGGGAAUGAAGGAACCGGCUUCCCUUUUGGCAGCCAUAAUGGUUGAACAUGUGCUUCUAUGACCUUGUCCUAGAAACCAGAAAGUCAGAUGCCUGUCUUGUGACAAGGAACCAAUCAGAAGUUAGCUGGUGGUGCUAUGCUUUAUGGCUCUGGGUGUGCUUUACGGACAAGCGCACAGCAAUGACGUAGAGAGCAUAGCAACCACCCUGGGAGGGCCUAU